UACGUAGGGUGCGAGCGUUAAUCGGAAUUACUGGGCGUAAAGCGUGCGCAGGCGGCUUUGCAAGACAGAUGUGAAAUCCCCGGGCUUAACCUGGGAACUGCAUUGGUGACUGGCAGGCUUUGAGUGUGGCAGAGGGAGGUAGAAUUCCACGUGUAGCAGUGAAAUGCGUAGAGAUGUGGAGGAAUACCGAUGGCGAAGGCAGCCUCCUGGGCCAACACUGACGCUCAUGCACGAAAGCGUGGGGAGCAAACAGG
rnacentral:rRNA from 1 species